ACGGAAGGCAGCAGUGGGGAAUAUUGGGCAAUGGGGGAAACCCUGACCCAGCAACGCCGCGUGAAGGAAGAAGGCUUUCGGGUUGUAAACUUCUUUUAUGAGGGACGAAGGACGUGACGGUACCUCAUGAAUAAGCCACGGCUAACUACGUGCCAGCAGCCGCGGUAAUACGUAGGUGGCAAGCGUUAUCCGGAUUUACUGGGUGUAAAGGGCGCGUAGGCGGGAAGGCAAGUCAGGUGUGAAAUCUAUGGGCUUAACCCAUAAACUGCACUUGAAACUGUCUUUCUUGAGUGCUGGAGAGGUAGACGGAAUUCCUUGUGUAGCGGUGAAAUGCGUAGAUAUAAGGAAGAACACCAGUGGCGAAGGCGGUCUACUGGACAGUAACUGACGCUGAGGCGCGAAAGCGUGGGGAGCAAACAGGAUUAGAUACCCUGGUA
rnacentral:rRNA from 1 species